UGCCCAUAGCGUUGGAGAUACACCUGUUCCCAUGUCGAACACAGCAGUUAAGUCCUUCCGCGCCGGAAGUAGUUGGGGGUCGCCCCCUGCGAGAUAGGGUCGGUGCUAAGU
rnacentral:rRNA from 1 species